AAACCUCAAGACUUCUGUAAUAUGCUGCUCAAACAGUUUCACUUUUCUUUCUACUGCCUGUCCUUCCCUUCUCACAUUUAUCUCCAGACUUCUCCUUGUUCAGAUCUAUUCUGCCCCCAACAAUCUUCUGUUCAUUGAACUUAUUGGAACUUGGCACUUUUAGAGAGAUGAGGGGAUGCAGAGAGGAAG